rnacentral:rRNA from 1 species
UACGGAGGGUGCAAGCGUUAUCCGGAUUCACUGGGUUUAAAGGGUGCGUAGGCGGGUUGGUAAGUCAGUGGUGAAAUCUUCAAGCUUAACUUGGAAACUGCCGUUGAUACUAUCAAUCUUGAAUAUUGUGGAGGUAAGCGGAAUAUGUCAUGUAGCGGUGAAAUGCUUAGAUAUGACACAGAACACUGAUUGCGAAGGCAGCUCACUAAACUGUAACUGACGCUGAGGCACGAAAGCGUGGGGAGCAAACAGG